UACAGGGGGGGCAAGCGUUGUUCGGAAUUACUGGGCGUAAAGGGCGCGUAGGCGGCCUUCUAAGUCGGACGUGAAAGCCCCAGGCUUAACCUGGGAACUGCGUCCGAUACUGGAAGGCUUGGAUUCGGGAGAGGGAUGUGGAAUCCCAGGUGUAGCGGUGAAAUGCGUAGAUAUCUGGAGGAACACCGGUGGCGAAGGCGGCAUCCUGGACCGAGAUCGACGCUGAGGCGCGAAAGCUAGGGGAGCAAACGGG
rnacentral:rRNA from 1 species